rnacentral:rRNA from 1 species
CACGUAGGGCGCAAGCGUUGUCCGGAAUUAUUGGGCGUAAAGAGCUCGUAGGCGGUCUGUUACGUCUGCUGUGAAAACCCGGGGCUUAACCCUGGGCUUGCAGUGGAUACGGGCAGACUAGAGGCAGGUAGGGGAGAAUGGAAUUCCCGGUGUAGCGGUGAAAUGCGCAGAUAUCAGGAGGAACACCCGUGGCGAAAGCGGCUCUCUGGGACGGUACUGACGCUGAGACGCGAAAGCGUGGGGAGCGAACAGG